UUAAAUUGAAGAGUUUGAUCAUGGCUCAGAUUGAACGCUGGCGGCAGGCCUAACACAUGCAAGUCGAACGGUA
rnacentral:rRNA from 45 species